GACGGAGGAUGCAAGUGUUAUCCGGAAUCACUGGGCGUAAAGCGUCUGUAGGUGGUUUAAAAAGUCCACUGUUAAAGAUUGAAGCUUAACUUCAAAAAUGCCGUGGAAACUUUUAAACUUGAGUAUGAUAGGGGUAGAGGGAAUUUCCAGUGGAGCGGUGAGAUGCGUAGAUAUUGGAAAGACCACCAAUGGCGAAGGCACUCUACUGGGCCAUUACUGACACUGAGAGACGAAAGCUAGGGGAGCAAAUGGG
rnacentral:rRNA from 1 species